CCCCGCCCCGCCCCGCGUCUGGUCAGAGAGGCCCCAGUGGGAGCCUGGGUCCUGCCAGGAUGCCUGGUGGGUGGUCGGGAGACCGGACUGAAGGUGAGGACCAGUGGGGCCAGGACGCCGAAACCUGGGCUUCACCUCCUCCUGCGGGCAGGCGGCUGCAAUCCUGAGAAGGCGGCAGGGUCAGGGCGGUGGCCCCAAACUCCGCACAGGAGGCGGCCGGAGAGUCAGACCCCCUCCAGGCCCCGGAUUAGGUUCUGGUGAAAGGAUGCCGGGUGGGGGCUGGGGGCCGGAGGCUGUGAAUCUUGCAGCUCAAUGGCCUCUGUGUUCUGGCAGGAAGCUCCUUAGGUGACCCAGGCAGUGGCCUCACCAGCUGGCGGGCUCCUCCCCAGCCUUGCCCCCCUUCAGGGAUCCCUCCCCCCCCCCCACUCCCCGCCAAAGGUACCUGCGUUUACUUCCUUUCCCGCCCCCCCACUCAGGCCUCUCUCACAGGGACCCAGGUACCAGGCCCCACGCACUCACCCUUCAGUCCUCUCCACUCUGUCACCUCCCAGGGCUGAGUGAGUAGGGGCAGGAAACAGGAAUCGGAUCCUCCUCCCAACCGGACACCCCCCCUCCCCAAACCACACCGCACUCCACAUGCGCACACUAGGGUUCUGGAAGAUGUGAUGGACCCAGGAUCCCAAGGGUCCCGGAAAAAGGCUGAAACGCCGGCGUGGGAGAGCGGGCUGUUCUGUAGGCACAGGGUCUGGUUGUGGCUGCGUGGCUGCGUGGACUGGGGGCUGACGGGGCCCCGGGGUGAGGACGAAGGAUGGGCUGGCAAUGGCACAGGGCCGGGCCGGUGGGAGGGCACCGGGCACGGGCGUCUGGACACCUCUGUAUCAGCUGAGGGAUGGUGUGUGUGUCCCUCCAGGACGUGUCUAUCUCUCCCACACCACACACGAGAGCCUGUCCCUUAAGCUUCUAACCUGUCCCUCUGGGUGUGAGCCAGUCUUUAUGCCACACCACGGGACCCCCACCCAGGCUUCCCGCUCCCUGUAGUGCCCCCCUCCCUGAACUUACCUUUAUCUUUCUGGAAGCUGUUUCUAUUUUCAGCCUGUCCUGCCUACCCCUUGGAGCGAGGAGUGUGGGGCCAGGUCUCCGAAUGCCUGUUCCUGUGUUUCUGGGGCGGGAACUGAGGGCCCAGAUUGAGAUCUCCACAGAGGAAGCCAGUUCCUUGGCCCCACCCGGCCAUUGUGUCAGGCGUGUGUGCAUGUGUGCAUGGGGGGCGGGGGGAGGGAGGCAGGGGGAGAGGGCCUCCGGUGGGAAGGAGGUCGGAGACCUGAGACCCCGGUCUCCUCCAGGCAAAAUUCUCGCAACGACCUACCAGGCGCUACCCGACCUACCCUCUGCCCAUCCCUGUCCGGGCCUGCAGCCUGGAAACCUGCCUCCGGAGACAUCCCCAUGGGAGCCAGCCGUCGUGCACAGAAAUGUCGGUGAGACUACUGAAUGGUGACCGGCCAUGUGGAGGAAGAAGCCACUUGGAGAACCAGGAUGCCCCAGCCAUCAGCUAGGAUGGAGAUCUUAGGACACGUGAGGCCAUGUUGGAUUCUCCAGCCCCACCCCAACACCCAACUAAUACCACACAGGGCAUCCACAGUGAGCCCUGCCCAAAUCCUUUUUGUUCCUCCCAAAUUCUUCUUCUUAACGUUUAUUUUUGAGAGAGAGAGACAGAGCAUGAGUGGGUAAGGGGCAGAGAGAGGGAGACACAAAAUCGAAAGCAGGAUCCAGACUCUGGGCUGUCAGCACAGAGCCCGUCGCGAGGCUUGAACCCACAAACUGUGAGAUCGUGACCUGAGCCGAAGCCGGACGCUUAACCGCCUGGGUGCCCCAGCCCAAAUUCUUGAUCCACAGACUCCUGAGCAAAGAAAUGGUUUGUGUGUCAGACCACUAAGUCUUGGGUUGAUUCCUUAUGCAGAGAUAGACAACCAAAGCGCUGUCUCUCCUCUGGGGAUGCUAAGCUGAUGAGGCACAGGCCUAGGGCUACUCCGUGGGGUGCCUGAGAAUAAAACCAACACAAGGGAGAGGCUGAGACACAGAGGUGAGUCCCUGAUCCCGCUGGCCUGAAAUCCUAUCUGUGUUUGCGCUUUUCUGUGAUGUGAGUCAGCAAAUUCCUGUUCUGUAAGCUGGUUUGAGUAGGGUUUACGUCACUUAUAACCAAAAAAAAAAAAAA